AAGUCGUAACAAGGUUUCCGUAGGUGAACCUGCGGAAGGAUCAUUACGAAAUCUUUGCCAGCUUUGCGCUGACAGAGUAUUACCCUGUUUACACGUAUUAUUGUCGCUCCUUCGGCGGUUCUCCGCCGAUGGACACCUUAUAAAACCCUUUUGCAAUAGCCGUAACGUCAGAUAAACUUAAUUUAUCACAACUUUCAACAAUGGAUCUCUUGGUUCUG
rnacentral:misc_RNA from 1 species